rnacentral:lncRNA from 1 species
CGGCUCGGCCCCCGCGCCGGAGCGGCCCCUUCGGCCCAAUGAGUCUUCUGAGGACACUGCCGCGAAGUGCCGGGGAGGGUUGGAGGGAGCCUCGCGGGGGCGGGCGCUGCGGCUCGGCCUGUCUCCUCGACCAAUCGGCGCCGAGAACCGCUUUUAAGGACGGCCCGGCGUUGUCCAAUCGGCAAAUGACCGAGAGAAAAGCACCGAGCUCUCCUGGCAUGAAAGCAGACCCUCCUGCAGACUGUCCUUUGCCUCGAUGGAAAAACAUCUGCAAGUUUUUAUCCCUAGCUGAUGCCAUUCGUACGCGUGUUUGUAAGCUGCACCUCUUCCUGACACCCCACACAGUGCUACCAAGCACCACUUUCCCAAGAAAUGUGAAAACUCAGCUGUCUUCAUUAAUAGGAGCACUUCUCCAACACCUCAUUGCCUGUUUUACGAGCGUUCCUGGUCUGUGUAGCCAGCUGUCACCCAACCACAGCCACAUCUUCUUUUCCUGCUUAGGAGAGAAGCAGCAGAGCUGGGAUGCUGGCAUAGAUGGGAUAAAUAGCAACAAGGAACACAGCACAUCUCCUCUAUUGGAUGCCACACAUUAAAUACUCCUAGCCGUGAUGCUUUGGUGUGGUCCGUGAGGACAAGAUGGAGUUUCAGGGAAUAACAAAUGAGAAGAUUUCAUGCAUAGAAGUUCAAGAAAGCCACAAGCUGCAGGUGGACAAGCAUGCUAAAUUCAAGAGUGACUCAUAUGCUGUGUGAUGUUUGUUGGGCUCAAGCUGCAGGUCCCUCAAAAGCAGGGUUUUAUCGCAUAGAAAUGAGCAGGCUUUUAUUGUGAGCUGCGACCACCAAUUCCUUACACGUUAGUGCUGGCAGAAAGUGGGUUAGAAAUGAAAGGAACAAUUUUAGACAUAUGGUGAUCUGGCAAAGCGCUCUGAAAUUUUAAUUAUGCUGUGGAAAGGUCAGGGCUGGAUCUGUGCUGGUGGAGGGAUAAUUUGCUUUUGUAGUUUGCGAACGUGCCUUUCCAAAAUGAAAGGACUGAGAGCUGAAAAAUAAAGCGAACUUCUCCUGUGCA